AGUGAACGCUGGCGGUAGGCUUAACACAUGCAAGUCGAACGGCAGCACAGUAAGAGCUUGCUCUUACGGGUGGCGAGUGGCGGACGGGUGAGGAAUACAUCGGAAUCUACUUUUUCGGGGGGGAUAACGUAGGGAAACUUACUCUAAUACCGCAUACGACCUACGGGUGAAAGCAGGGGAUCUUCUGACCUUGUGGGAUUGAAUGCGCCGAUGUCGGGUUAGCUAGUUGGCGGGUUGAUGGCCCACCAAGUGGCCGAUCCGUAGCUGGUCUGUGGGGAUGAUCGCCCACCCUGGAGCUGAGCCGCGGUCCAGGCUCCUGCGGGAGGCCGCAGUGGGGAAUAUUGGACAAUGGUCGCAAGCCUGAUCCAGCCGUACCGCGUGGGUGAAGAAAGCCUUCGGGUUGUAAAGCCCUUUUGUUGGGAAAGAAAAGCAGCAGCUUAAUACCCCGCUGUUCUGACGGUACCCAAAGAAUAAGCACCGGCUAACUUCGUG
rnacentral:rRNA from 1 species